AUAAAACUCUCCUGGCCAACUGAUAAAGAAGAUAAACAAAUACAGGGAUGCAUUAUGACUUGCCAGGCAUGAAUGAGCCAAUUCUGGAAGCACUGAAAAGGAGCUUUGCUAUCCAACAAAGUUUUCUCUACGAAGUACAUUCAGGAAAAUACAGCCAAGCACGAGGAGCUGAGGAACUGGAUUGACAGCUGAUGAAAGGGUGUUUAUAGAUGGGCAGCCAUGGAGAAUUGUAUAAUGGAAGUCACUGAAGAG